rnacentral:lncRNA from 1 species
CUGGAGCCCACGUUUUGUAGCUAAGCAGGCUGCUGCUCUUGACUGAGUCCCUGGUGAGUUCACUGCCUUGACGAGUAGGUGGCCAUGAUGAGCUUUGCUUGCUUACUUUUGGCAGGAGAAUAAAGGCAGGGCCGGGUGCCUGAGAGAGGCAGGAGCAUGAAUUCUGUCUUGGAAGGUUUGUUCUUCAAGAGGCAAAAUUCAGUUUUUCACGUAUUGCAUGGAGCCGAGCACGUGACUGUCAUACUUCAGACUUAAAUUUAGUGAGGAAUGGGGAAUGUGGAGAUGUUAACUUUGAAGUAAGUGAUCACUAGCAAUUCAGUUUAAAUUAGGUGGAAGGAUGUACGUAAACACUGAAGUAAUUUCAGAAGGGAAGAAUUAGGGAAACGGAUUAAUUAAAGAUCAAUCGAGUUAACUGGACUGAAAAAUUGUGAGGAAAAAGUGCUCUGGAACCUCAAUUUAAAGGAAUUCCAUGGUACAGUAUGAAAUUUGCAACUAAGGACCUAAUUACAGGGCUUCAGGAUACAGUUGCUACGGAGAUAACUUCGGGCCAAAAUUAAGGCAUGCAACCCGUAUACAACCAUAUUCUUUGCAUGCCCCGAAACUAUAAUUAAGCUAACGCAAAUCUGGUGGGAGAACAAAUGUGUGUAAUCUUGCUCUGAAUGAAUUUAGGUUGAGAACUAACCAUUGAGAUUCUGGCACAGCUCUCCAAAACAAGCCAUGGGGGACAGAAGACCCAGUGGGAAUGAAGGUGGAGCCCACCGUGUUUAGAUGUGCUACCUAAAAGACGUGAGACAUCUCCAUGGACACGUCAUUGUGACAGUGAAGGUGCUCCAAAGAGACACUGUGACUCUGCUUCUCUCAGCCACUGUCAAAAGCUGUGUGCAGAUCUGAAAGUGCGACAGGGAUCAAUGGGAAUCCAAUGUGGACAAAAAGGCUGAUUUUUUGUAGUUUGCUGUGCUUCUAGAGGGGACCAUCCAUCCUAGUGGGUUUCCGUCUGACAAUACCCUGGACCCUUCUCAUUGUUUUCAGCAACAAAGGAAAACCUGCCGAGUUGCCAUGCAUAUCCAAAGGUUGGUCAGAGUCAAAAUUAUUUAUUUAGAAUACGUAGGGCACGGCGUGCUUUGAGCAGCCUGCUAGGAGCUUUCAUUUUUUUUCUGUCAGCUCCUUUUGGCU